GGGUGGACGGCGAGAUCGGCGAUGCCCUUGCGAUGUGUGGGGACGGUCUUAAGGUGGACGAAGGGGUCGGCGUCGUAGAUGCAAACGGCGCCAUCGUCGGAGGCGGAGAGGAGGUUGCGGGGGAGGCCGCCGGGGGAGGAGGCCGGGGCGUAGAAAGCGAGGGCGGUGACGGCGCCGCUGUGAUCGAGGAGGGUGCCGACCUCGGCGGCGGCGGCGAGGUCGUAGAGCUUGAUGGCGUCGUCGGAGCCGCCGGACGCGGCGACGGUGCCGGCGGUCGCGACGGCCUUGAUGGGGCCGAUGUGGGAGGGGUAGGAGAAGAGGGGUUUUAGGGUUAGGGUUU
rnacentral:lncRNA from 1 species